UUCUCCUUUUAUGUGUGAAUUUAAAUAUGUUUCUCUUCUUAAAUAUGUACGUACCAUGUUGUUGAAUACACAUAUUCUUCAUUCAUGGUCUAUUAAUUUGGUGUUUAUGAACUUGAAAUUUCUCAAACCACAAACCAAAUUUUGAAUGUAAAGUGUGCCAACUAGCUUGUCAACGUCUACAAGCUGUUUGAUAAAAUUCCCCACUGACCAUUCACUCAUGCACAUUGUACUUGGCUAUGCAUUUUUGUUGUUCUGUUUUGAAAAUUUGUCGAGGGUACGUAUGAUAGUGUUGAUGAACUCUAUCUGAACACAACUCAAUUGACUAACAAGUAAUUAUGUGGCUCUUGGAUUUAGGGGGGCAGAACCAAGAAUUAUGUUUGAGAGGGGCCAAUGUUUAUGCAUAAAAAAUAUUAAAUUAGUUUUGAUAUAUUACUCAUUGAAUAUAAUUUCUUAUAUAAGCGUUGUUAAAGAAUUAUUUCACGAGAAAACUAAAUAAAUCUAAAAAAUAGUUUUUUCAAUUUUGAGCUAUUAGAUCUCAAUAUACAAUUAGUUGAUUUUAUAUAAUCUAGUAAAUAAAAAGUGAAAAAUGCUUAAGAUCCCUGAAAAAUGCUUAAAUUUACACUCAAUGGCAUUAAAUGUUACAUGUCAAUUGAUUUGUUUAUAAAUCAAUUAACUAAGACCUAACCCCUGCCAUGUCACUGUAAAUAAAUUUAAGGGUGAAGUUUUAGGUUCUCUGGCAUUACUCCUAAAAAAGUAUACAUAUCAUUUGAUUUCUAAAAUCCAAAAAAUAAGUGACAUGUACCUCUUGUUUUAAUAAAAUCAACUAAAGAUAAAAUAUAUGCUGUUAUUUAAAACGUGAAAUAAUUAGAGAUCAUUUCAUUAGAUGUUGUAAAAUAUUAACGAAAUAAAAAGGUAGUAAACUAUUUCUUAUAAAAUUUAAAAAUCCACCUUAUUAUACAUUUUACAAAUACUCAUAAAUAUAGAAUUAAUAAUAAAUUGUCGAAAAUCGGAGGGAGGCGGGGCCCCUCCCCUGCUUGGAUUCAAAAUCUGUUUUCCUUUAGCUAAGAAAGCAAGAAAAUUUACUUUGAGACUUAUAAUGUAGAAAUGCCAAGGUUCUGAUGUGAGCCCAUGCUAUUUUAUUCAGUUCAACUUAUAAUAUUGUUGUGGCGGUUGUAUUUUUAGUUAUGAAAUUGUAUAUUGGUGUAUGAACGGGUGUUUAGCAGGGGUGAUGUGUUGUAUCAAUGUUGUGGUAGUUGUAUUUUGAAUUAGGGAUUUAUAUCUUCUGGUGUUUGGAAUCCAGACUUUGGGUGAUUGUUUAGUAAAGAGAUUCUGUUUUAUAGCUCUGAUGUGGGCUCUGACAUGGUGGUACUUUAAAGAGUCAAAAUCCAUGCAAUUUGGCAUUAAAGAGCAAGAGAAGUGCUUCUAUGAUGCUUACCACUUUGUGCCUUUGGUUUCUUAUAAAAGCCAUGACCUUCUUUUGAGUGGGUUGUACUUCUACCUUUGGUUAUCCCCUCUUUUGUUUUCUAGGAGCUUUAGGAUAGUUAUUGGACUUACAAUAAGGGGGAACCAUAACAUUGUCUGUUCUUUGACAAUCGGCAAAGUAAUUUGGACUAUAAGUUGCUCACUGCAGUCAGUUGAUGUGUAAGAGUAAAAUUUUCCUAGAAUUUUCCCGCUUCAACUAUUUCCUGUGGCAGUGUGAUUGAAUGCUUCUUACAUGGUUGUUGUAGUGUUUGUAACAUCAAAUUCUUAUUGAUUCUGGAAGAUGUUAUGUGGAUUAAAAAUGAAUUGCACAACAAUCAUGUAAACUUUCUUUCUAUGGUCAAUUGUUUCAGCAAUAAAAUGGCAAAUGGUUUGAUAUGGGCAACCACAGUGGAUUUGGCAAGGAAUAGUGAGCAGAUUGUUUCUCUUUAUUGCCAACUAUUGUAGAGGCUUAACUCCCCUGAUUUGCCACUGAACUUGGCAGCAAGACUGGCCAAAAAAGCUGAGGUUCGUGCCAUCUUCAUGCUGGCUUCUGAGGAGCGAUCCCUCCACAACAUCAAAGAUCUCAUUGAUGCUGCUGAGUACUCCCUCUCCCUCUUAAGAAAAGGCCAAAUCCCCAAAUACAUCCAAUGAAUAAGUGAAUGACAACAACCAUAAUUCAUUUCUGUAUCAAUUUUGUUUUGUGGCUCUACUGCUCUAUGGUAAAAUAACUUGGUGAGCAUGGAUGGCUUGAAAUCUAUUAGUAAAGCAAUAUCGAGAACAUUUUCUGUCAGUUUCAGAUUAUUCUUUUAACCUCAAAUUUGUGCACUGUGACUCCAUGGGCAUCUAACACUUGUUCGGUCCAGCGAGAGAUAAUUUUUAUCCAACCGUGGUAAAAAAAAAAAAGUUUGUUCGUUUGCUUAUUCCACUUCAUACAAUGGUAUGCGUUAAUUUGCUGCUGAAAUUAUUUGAAAACUUGCGGGCAGUGAAUUGAAUAUGUUUUAACAUAGUUACUAGUUAUCUUGUGUCAGUUCAAGCUGGCUACCCCUGUUAUUUUGUGUUUAUUUUCACUUUUUAUUCAUUUCCUGUGAACAUUUUCUUAAUGUGUUUUUGACCAAUGAAGUUUUGUGGUGAGCUUGGUAAUGACCACAGUAGUAAUUUAAUCAAAUCUCAAGUGACUAGGGAUUAUUGAGAACCAUGUAUCCUGCAUUUCUCAACCUCCACAAGGGAAAAUUCAUGCAUAGAAUAUUAGUCAAAAGAGCAUGAGAGAGAGAGAGUUACCAAGAAAAAAAAAAUUGUGAAAAACAGGGCAUUUUGACCAUAUGUGCAAUCUGAUAUACAGAAUGUAAUAGGAAAUAUGAGUUUAGCCCUUACUAUUCCAGAGAGCAGUUGAAGCAAUUCAUACCCCCAGCCCAAGAGGAAAAAAAAUAAAAAAA